rnacentral:rRNA from 1 species
CCCGCUGAACUUAAGCAUAUCAAUAAGCGGAGGAAAAGAAACUAACAAGGAUUCCCCUAGUAACUGCGAGUGAAGCGGGAAAAGCUCAAAUUUAAAAUCUGGCGGUCUCUGGCCGUCCGAGUUGUAAUCUAGAGAAGUGCUGCCCGCGCUGGACCGUGUACAAGUCUCCUGGAAUGGAGCGUCAUAGAGGGUGAGAAUCCCGUCUCUGACACGGACUACCAGGGCUUUGUGGUACGCUCUCAAAGAGUCGAGUUGUUUGGGAAUGCAGCUCAAAAUGGGUGGUAAAUUCCAUCUAAAGCUAAAUAUUGGCGAGAGACCGAUAGCGAACAAGUACCGUGAGGGAAAGAUGAAAAGAACUUUGGAAAGAGAGUUAAACAGUACGUGAAAUUGCUGAAAGGGAAACGCUUGAAGUCAGUCGCGUUGGCCGAGACUCAGCCUUGCUUCCGCUCGGUGCACUUCUCGGUUGACGGGUCAGCAUCAAUUUCGACCGCCGGAUAAAGGUUGAGGGAACGUGACAUCUUUCGAGGUGUGUUAUAGCCCUCGAUUCGCAUACAGCGGCUGGGAUUGAGGAACUCAGCACGCCGCAAGGCCGGGUUUCGACCACGUUCGUGCUUAGGAUGCUGGCAUAAUGGCUUUAAGCGACCCGUCUUGAAACACGG